rnacentral:rRNA from 1 species
GACGAACGCUGGCGGCGCGCCUAACACAUGCAAGUCGAACGAGCGAGAGAGAGCUUGCUUUCUUGAGCGAGUGGCGAACGGGUGAGUAACGCGUGAGGAACCUGCCUCAAAGAGGGGGACAACAGUUGGAAACGACUGCUAAUACCGCAUAAGCCCACGACCCGGCAUCGGGUUGAGGGAAAAGGAGCAAUCCGCUUUGAGAUGGCCUCGCGUCCGAUUAGCUAGUUGGUGAGGUAACGGCCCACCAAGGCGACGAUCGGUAGCCGGACUGAGAGGUUGAACGGCCACAUUGGGACUGAGACACGGCCCAGACUCCUACGGGAGGAAGCAGUGGGGAAUAUUGCACAAUGGGGGAAACCCUGAUGCAGCGACGCCGCGUGGAGGAAGAAGGUCUUCGGAUUGUAAACUCCUGUUGUUGAGGAAGAUAAUGACGGUACUCAACAAGGAAGUGACGGCUAACUACGUG